GUCACGAUGUGGGCAGCCAGCGGUGAUGCACCUAGCUCAUUGCAAACAAGUGAGUUUGACUCACCAGAGGAAGAGCCUAUUGAAGAUGAACAGACUCCAAUUCAGUUAUCAUGGCCACCCCUGUCACAAGUGAAUUGUUCUCAGUAUCUUGGUUCAUGUGUUCUUCCAAGUUGUAAAUUUAAAAAUGUUAGAAGAAAUAUCCAAAAAGAUACCGAAGAACUAAAGAGCUAUGGUAUAGAAGACAUAUUGCUUUUUGCACCAGAAGGGAACUAUCAAAACAUAGAGUCCCAAACCUCUUGGACCUCUACCAGCACUUUGGAAUAAUCUCUCAGCAUCAACCAAUCCCAGCUGGAAGGACUCCUGACAUGGCCAGCUGCUGUAAAUAACAGAGGGCCUUAAAAUAUACCUUAAAAAUAACCAAAAUGAAAAUCUCUUAAUACACUGUUAGGAAGGAGUUGGCAGAUCUUGUCUUGUAGCCAUCAUCUUGUCUCCUACUACCUGCCUGACAGUAUUACCACAGCAUGUCAUGUAGAGUCUGAGUGAGGAUCUGGAGCAAUACAGACCAUAAAGCGAUAUAAUUAUCUUUACAAGUUCUAGGACAAACUAGCUAUACAUCUAUCAUCAAUAGAUUCACUAUCAAGGUCUGUAUCUAGGGGGGAAAAUAAGAAUAUUGAACAGCAUGUAUAUAUGACCGUGCAUCUUCUUAAAAAUUAA